rfam:Salmo salar isolate Sally breed double haploid chromosome ssa19, whole genome shotgun sequence.
UGGCUCAGUUGGCAGAGCAUGGUGUUUGCAAUGCCAGGGUUGUGGGUUUGAUUCCCAC